rnacentral:lncRNA from 1 species
GGUGACAUAGCAUAAUAUGCUCAUAUAAAAAAAAAAUAGAAACGACGUUGUAUUGUUGAACUGGAUGAAAAUGAUGUUGUUUUUGCAAAAAAAAUAGAAACGAUGUUGUAUUGUUGGAUGAAAAUGAUGUUAUUUCUGCAACAAACAAUUAAAAGCUAACCCUAAACUUCUCGUUCUCUCUCCUCUCUCCUUCUCUCGCUUUCUCCCUUGUUGUUUUCUCUCUCUCUCGCUUUAUCCCCUCUCUUUUUCUCAUCAGCUAUAAGCC